AAUGAGCGAAGUUUAGAGUUACAUUUCCGCAGCUAGCAGAAAAUAAGAGAUCACGAGUAAAAACAAUCACGCAGGAUCAGUAGGCCCUCAAAUUUCAUGUUGAGAAUUUCACCAGGUAAGUCUUAAAAUAGAAGUUGAGUCCUAUUAGAAGACUGUUCCAUUGCAAAUAACAAAUAGCCAGUCGUUUUAAUACCUUAUUAAUUUCAACCAUGUCAAAUGCGUAAUUUAGUCGAUUUAUUUUGUAGAAAUCUGAAAUUUAGAGAGCCAUCACUUGAUGUAGAGAUCAAUACAAUGGAAUAAUAGUUGUAAGAAUCAGGGUUUGGAUGAUCAAUCUUCGCGUA
rnacentral:lncRNA from 1 species